CUUCGCGAGCGUCUGGGCGGGUGGUAGGAACAAUGGCGCUGUCUUCAGUGGCACAGUGGAGCAGCUCUGAAGAUGCAAAGAUACACGAAAAAACUUCCAGAACAUCUGGGAGAAUAUUUAAUGGAAAAUCGCUUGGUUAAAACCUGACACUUUUAACAGUGAACAGCGUUCUGAGUGUGGACGAGUAGCCAGUGAAGAUAAUGAAUGUCGAAUGUGACUGACUAGCAGCUUCAUUUUGAAUGAGGGUCGCUGUCUGCCCAUUGAUAGAGGCCAGAUUGUCUUGGAAGUUCCAAAGUUGCAACGAUUUCUGGCUAGUGCCACGAGGUUUACUUGACUGUUGUGUGAAAAGCUGAUAAGAAAACCAUCCAGAAAAAAGCUCUUCGUUUUACAAACAUGAAAAUAAAACAUUUAGUUGAAUCCAUGGACAUGAAACCCACAGAUAUAGAGGGUUGGCCCGGUGCAGUGGCUCACGCCUGUAAUCCCAGCACUUUGGGAGGCCAAGGCGGGUGGAUCACCUGAGGUCAGAAGCUUGAGACCAGCCUGGCCAACAUGGGUACUGCUUUCUCUUGCUGCAGCUUGCUUCCUCCCUCAGGUAUGAAGUUAAGUGGCUCACGCCUGUAAUCUCAGAACUCUGAGAGGCCGCGGCGGGCAGGUCAUGAAGUCAAGAGAUGGAGACCAUCCUGGCCAACAUGGCGAAACCCCA
rnacentral:lncRNA from 1 species